rnacentral:snRNA from 1 species
GUUUUCUUUUAACCUUCGGCAGCACACAUACUAAAAUUGAAAUGAUACAGAGAAGAUUAGCAUGGCCCCUGCGCAAGGAU